rnacentral:rRNA from 1 species
UACGUAGGGUGCGAGCGUUUAAUCGGAAUUACUGGGCGUAAAGCGUGCGCAGGCGGUUGUGUAAGACAGGUGUGAAAUCCCCGGGCUUAACCUGGGAACUGCGCUUGUGACUGCACGGCUAGAGUACGGCAGAGGGGGGGUGGAAUUCCACGUGUAGCAGUGAAAUGCGUAGAUAUGUGGAGGAACACCGAUGGCGAAGGCAGCCCCCUGGGCCGAUACUGACGCUCAUGCACGAAAGCGUGGGGAGCAA